GGAGAGACAGAGGGAGAGACAGUAGGAGAGACAAGAGAGGAGACAGUGGGAUGGACAGAGGGACAGACAGAGGGACACUGUCAAUCAAGUUUAUUCAUUGGAAUAUGUAAAUUUAUACACUUAAAAACAGGAAGUACAUAGGACAGUAUAAAACAGAUGAUGGAGUGUAUUCGCAGAACAAAUGACAAAUGGAUCGAUGGACACUUUCUGUACUAUCCUUCCCAUCAUGCACCACCAAACAGAAGGGGCGGGGCUUGUAGCAGAUAAUGAACGGAAGCAAUAAAGCUACUGAUGACUAUGCUAGAGAAUUUUCCAAAGUAGCCUCUGUUAAUGAGUUUUACAUUAAAAUAAAACGCACACGCACCCACACACGCACCCACACACACGCACGCACACACACGCAUGCACACACACAGACUGUUAGACUGUUAGCUAACACUGCUGGGUAGAUUAACGACCUCGUUUAAAUAUUUAUGCGCAAGUGUACGCCUUCAGGAUUUUGUUAAAAUGUUUGGUGUGAUUAUUUUUAAAACUCUGAGUGUUUCUGCUCGAAAUAUUAAUUUUCCUCCUCGUUAAGCGAAAGUGCUCAGCUCUCAGGUGGAAAAUCCGCUCAGAUUAACAGAACUGUUCAUUAGAGAGAGAGAGACGGAGAGAGACGGAGAGAGAGACGGAGAGAGAGACGGAGGGAAAUAAAAGAAGUCAGUAACUGAGUACACAGCCGUCUGUUCUUUCUUGCUGACUUCUUUUAUUUCUCUCCUUCUUCCCUCUCUCACUCUCCUUUCUUGCUUAUCUUUUCCUUCAUUCUUUUCUUCCUUUUCCUCUCAUUGUUUCUCAUUCCUCCAUGUUUUAUUUAUUUAUUUAUUUAUUUCCUACCCCUUCAUUCUGUCAUUUUUUUAUUCGUUUUUCUUUUUCUUCCUUUCAUUCUUUCAUUUAUUUCUACAGGUACUGUAUUUGUGUAUUUCUUUCAUUCCAUUUUUCUUUCUUUCUUUCUUUCUUUCUUUCUUUCUCGCUUACUUUACCUUUUAUUUCCCUGUUUUCAUUUGCUUCUUUUUCUUUCUUCUUCUCUCUGUAUAUACAGUGUAUAUAUAUAUAUAUUCAUAUUCAUGUCUCCAG
ensembl:lncRNA